GGCAUAUGUGUGUGAUUGUAUGGAACU
rnacentral:piRNA from 1 species